rnacentral:rRNA from 1 species
UCAGUACGUACGCUGGCGGCACGCUUAGCACAUGCAAGUCGAACGAAGUAGCAAUACUUAGUGGCAGACGGGUGAGUAUAAUGUGGGAAUCUGCCUUUUGGUUUAGAAUAACUCGGGGAAACUUGAGCUAAUACUAGAUAAGCCCUUACGGGGAAAGCUUUAUGCGCCAAAAGAUGAGCCCGCACUUGAUUAGCUUGUUGGUGAGGUAAAAGCUCACCAAGGCAACGAUCAAUAGCUGUUCUUAGAGGAAGACCAGCCACAUUGGGACUGAGACACGGCCCAGACUCCUACGGGAGGCAGCAGUGGGGAAUCUUGCACAAUGGGGGAAACCCUGAUGCAGCGAUGCCGCGUGAGUGAAGAAGGCCUUUGGGUUGUAAAACUCUUUCGUCGGGGAAGAAAAUGACUGUACCCGAAUAAGAAGGUCCGGCUAACUUCGUG